rnacentral:rRNA from 1 species
GAUGAACGCUGGCGGCGUGCCUAAUACAUGCAAGUCGAGCGGACAUACGAGGAGCUUGCUCUUCUAAGGUUAGCGGCGGACGGGUGAGUAACACGUGGAUAACCUGCCUGUUAGCCUGGGAUAACUUCGGGAAACCAGAGCUAAUACCGCAUAAUAUUUCCUACCCAUUGUGGCAAAAGGUAAAGGGGCUUUUGCUGCCACAUAACGCUGGCCUCGGGUCGAAUAGGCUGGUUGGUAGGGUACCGCCCACCCAAGGCACCGAUCCGUAGCGGCCCGGGGGGGUGGACGGGCCACCUUGGAACGGGGAAACGGUCCAGACUCCUAGGGGAGGAAGAAGUGGGGAAUAUUCGGCAAGGGGCGAAAGCCUGACGGAGCAACGCCGCGUGGGGGAGGAAGGUCUUCGGAUCGAAAACCCCUUUGAUUAGGAAAGAAAAGUGGCGGAAGAAACUGUGCACGUCUUGACGGUACCUAAUCAGAAAGCCACGGCUAACUACGUG